rnacentral:rRNA from 1 species
AGAUUGAACGCUGGCGGCAGGCCUAACACAUGCAAGUCGAGCGGUAGAGAGGUGCUUGCACCUCUUGAGAGCGGCGGACGGGUGAGUAAUGCCUAGGAAUCUGCCUAGUGGUGGGGGAUAACGUUCGGAAACGGACGCUAAUACCGCAUACGUCCUACGGGAGAAAGCGGGGGACCUUCGGGCCUCGCGCCAUUAGAUGAGCCUAGGUCGGAUUAGCUAGUUGGUGAGGUAAUGGCUCACCAAGGCGACGAUCCGUAACUGGUCUGAGAGGAUGAUCAGUCACACUGGAACUGAGACACGGUCCAGACUCCUACGGGAGCAGCAGUGGGAAUAUUGGACAAGUGGGACGAAAGCCUAGAUCCAGCCAUGCCGCGUGUGUGAAGAAGGUCUUCGGAUUGAAAGCUAACGUUUAAGGUGGAAGGUAAGGGUUAGUAAACUUUAAGUUACGUUGACUAAACGUUUCGACGUUUAACCGACAGAAAUAAGCCUAACCGGUACUAACGUUCGUACGCCCGUAAGCCGAGUCCCGUACGGUUAAC